UACGUAGGGAGCUAGCGUUGUUCGGAAUCACUGGGCGUAAAGCGCACGUAGGCGGAUUUGUCAGUCAGGGGUGAAAUCCCGGAGCUCAACUUCGGAACUGCCCUUGAUACAGCACGUCUUGAGUCCGGAAGAGGUGAGUGGAAUUCCUAGUGUAGAGGUGAAAUUCGUAGAUAUUAGGAAGAACACCAGUGGCGAAGGCGGCCCACUGGUCCGGUACUGACGCUGAGGUGCGAAAGCGUGGGGAGCAAACAGG
rnacentral:rRNA from 1 species